GAGGAAUAUUGGUCAAUGGGUGCAAGCCUGAACCAGCCAUCCCGCGUGAAGGACGACUGCCCUAUGGGUUGUAAACUUCUUUUGUAUAGGGAUAAACCUACCCUCGUGAGGGUAGCUGAAGGUACUAUACGAAUAAGCACCGGCUAACUCCGUGCCAGCAGCCGCGGUAAUACGGAGGGUGCAAGCGUUAUCCGGAUUUAUUGGGUUUAAAGGGUCCGUAGGCGGACUUAUAAGUCAGUGGUGAAAGCCUGUCGCUUAACGAUAGAACUGCCAUUGAUACUGUAAGUCUUGAGUAUAUUUGAGGUAGCUGGAAUAAGUAGUGUAGCGGUGAAAUGCAUAGAUAUUAGGAGGAACACCAGUGGCGAAGGCGGCCAACUGGGCUUUUACUGACGCUGAGGCUCGAAAGCGUGGGGAGCAAACA
rnacentral:rRNA from 1 species